rnacentral:rRNA from 1 species
AUUGAACGCUGGCGGCAGGCCUAACGCAUGCAAGUCGAGCGGGGUUUUCGGACCUAGCGGCGGACGGGUGAGUAAUGCGUAGGAAGCUACCCGAUAGAGGGGGAUACCAGUUGGAAACGACUGUUAAUACCGCAUAAUGUCUACGGACCAAAGUGUGGGACCUCCGGGCCACAUGCUAUCGGAUGCGCCUACGUGGGAUUAGCUAGUUGGUGAGGUAAUGGCUCACCAAGGCGACGAUCCCUAGCUGGUUUGAGAGGAUGAUCAGCCACACUGGAACUGAGACACGGCCCAGACGCCUACGGGAGGCAGCAGGGGGGAAUAUUGGACAAUGGGCGCAAGCCUGAUCCAGCCAUGCCGCGUGUGUGAAGAAGGCCUUCGGGUUGUAAAGCACUUUCAGUAGGGAGGAAGCGUUGUGUGUUAAUAGUACACAGCGUUGACGUUACCUACAGAAGAAGCACCGGCUAACUCUGUGCCAGCCGCCGCAGUAACAC